rnacentral:misc_RNA from 1 species
UCUCCGUAGGUGAACCUGCGGAGGGAUCAUUACCGAGUGAGGGUCCUUGUGGCCCGACCUCCAACCCCCUGUCUUCCGACUCUGUUGCCUCGGGGGCGACCCUGCCUUCGGGCGGGGGCUCCGGGUGGACACUUCAAACUCUUGCGUAACUUUGCAGUCUGAGUAAACUUAAUUAAUAAAUUAAAACUUUUAACAACGGAUCUCUUGGUUCUGGCAUCGAUGAAGAACGCAGC